GAUUCUGGCUCAGGAUGAACGCUAGCGACAGGCUAACACAUGCAAGUCGAGGGGCAUCACGGGAGUAGCAAUACAACUGGUGGCGACCGGCGCACGGGUGAGUAACGCGUAUGCAACCUACCUAUCAGAGGGGAAUAACCCGGCGAAAGUCGGACUAAUACCGCAUAAAACAGGGGCACCGCAUGGUGAUAUUUGUUAAAGAAAUUCGCUGAUAGAUGGGCAUGCGUUCCAUUAGGUAGUUGGUGAGGUAACGGCUCACCAAGCCGACGAUGGAUAGGGGAACUGAGAGGUUGGUCCCCCACACUGGUACUGAGACACGGACCAGACUCCUACGGGAGGCAGCAGUGAGGAAUAUUGGUCAAUGGGCGGGAGCCUGAACCAGCCAAGUCGCGUGAAGGAAGAAGGAUCUAUGGUUCGUAAACUUCUUUUGCAGGGGAAUAAAGUGCAGGACGUGUCCUGUUUUGUAUGUACCCUGAGAAUAAGGAUCGGCUAACUCCGUGCCAGCCGCCGC
rnacentral:rRNA from 1 species